rnacentral:rRNA from 1 species
GAUGAACGCUGGCGGCGUGCCUAAUACAUGCAAGUCGAGCGAACAGAUGAGGAGCUUGCUCCUCUGACGUUAGCGGCGGACGGGUGAGUAACACGUGGAUAACCUACCUAUAAGACUGGGAUAACUUCGGGAAACCGGAGCUAAUACCGGAUAAUAUAUUGAACCGCAUGGUUCAAUAGUGAAAGACGGUUUUGCUGUCACUUAUAGAUGGAUCCGCGCCGCAUUAGCUAGUUGGUAAGGUAACGGCUUACCAAGGCUACGAUGCGUAGCCGACCUGAGAGACUGAUAGGCCACACUGGAACGUGAACAGGCUCCAGACUCCUACGGGAGGCAGCAGUAGGGAAUCGGCCGCAAUGGGGGAGAGCCUGGCGGAGCGGCGCCGAGUCAGUUAUGGAGAUCUUCGGUGCGUAAAGCUCUGUUAUGAGUUGUAAACAAAUGUGGAAUGAACCAAACACGGCUUGACGGUACCGAAUCAGGAAGCCACGGCUAACUACGUG